AGUGAUUGUUAAAAUCACGAUUUUACUGUUUGAAAUGGCAAUAUUUUCCAGUUGAUCAUUACUUAUUAUAAAUCGACUGUUAUUUAUGACAAUUUACUUCUUUCCGUCUAAGUAAUAACAAUUGUUUUUAUAU